AUGAAAAAGAACCCGGGCACUUUCAGCAAACUCUUCGGCAAGAAACAUGCCAACCCGCCCGCCACCUCCCUCUACGCCACGAACCCCCCCUGGAUCUUCACCCAGGAGGCCCCGGAGGAGGGGACCCGGGGCUUCGAUGGGAUCUAUUAUGGAGACAACCGGUUUGACACUGUGAGUGAGUCGGGAACCGCCACGCUGAAAGCUCGGCCCAGAGUCCGGCCCCUGCUCACCUUUCUUCCGCUGGAUGCCCAGGAGAACCAUGGACUGGCUGUACCCACUCCCUGUGUGCCAGACAGCUUUGCAGACAAACAAGGGACAGGCACCAGCACGCUCGUCAAUGGCAACCUCCGACUAUACAGCUCUGUGGGGGACCUAAGGCCUGGGCAUUAUGGCCAGGACUUACUCAUCCCCCCACCUCCCCCGGGCCCAGCGCCGGCGCCACCCCUAGGUGCUCUGCAGCCUCCAGAGUUCUCUCCGCCACCUCCACCCUCCACAGCUCCCCCACCUCCUCCCCUGCUGGAAUCACUGCCCCCACCCCCACCCAGCACAGCCCCAGCUCUGCCCCCAGGAAUGGGGGCCCUUCCCCACCCACCCACUGUUUCCUCACCAUCCACACCCACGCCUCCUGACUUCAUUCCUCCCGCACCACCCCAGGCCGUUCAAGCCCCACCUCUACCCCUCUUGCCAGCCCCGACACCCCCAGCCCCAGAGUCUCCUCAUACCGUGGGGACACGCCUCUUCCCCACUGGGGGUGUCACCAAGUGGAAAUCAGAAGUGGCGCUGAAUGGCAGGCAGCCAGAGGUCCCCAGAAGCAGUCCCCCCAGGAGCCCUGCUGAGCCCAAGGGGGCCCUCCCGGGUCUGGAGUCCCACCUCACCUUCCCCCGGUCAUUCAAGGUGCCUCCCCCAACCCCAGUCAGGACUUCGUCCAUCUCUAUUCCAGAAGCACAAGGGACUCCUCCUGAGGACGAAGAGCGCACCAAGAAGGGCCCCGGUCGACCCUCACUGCCUCCUAGCUUCCAUAUCCGCUCCGCGUGCCAGGCCUACCCCGACAGGGCUGCUGAGCUGGCACGCCCUGAGGAGCCCAGCACUGUGGCACUGGCCGGCCCAAGGCCAGGCCAGCCUCAGGUCCAGAGCAGUGAACAAGCUGAGACGCCACCUCCAGCCCCUCCCCUACCCCCUCCUGCACCCCCACUCCCUCCACCAGCACCCCCACUCCCCCCAGCCGCCCCUCCUCUGCCAUCUGCUGAGAAGGCAGCCCCUCCACCUGCUGGCUUGAUGAAAAGAACCAAGUUUAGCUUUCCUGCUCCCAAACCCAAACCUGACCCCCCCAGCCCGGAGGAGACAGCCUCUUCGGAGCCCAUGGACUGGCGGGACCCCAGCCAGAUGGCAAAGCUCCGGGACCAGCUGUCAGCCUAUCUUUGCAGCUCCAGGAGAGAGGACCGGCUUGCCAGUCACAGACCAGAUCCAAUGGCAGCCUCUCAGGAAAGAGAGGACCACAAGCGUCCCAGCCUGCCAGCGAAAGAGGCGCCCCCGAGUCUGCUACAGAAGGAGGCUCCCCCAAGCCUGCCAGAGAAGGAGGCCCCCUCAAGUGUUCCUGAGGAGAGUCCUUGCAGCCGGCCAAAGAAGGCUGCCACCAGCCUGAUCCUCCCUCCUGUGGACUACCUCCCCCAAGACGCGCCAACUCCUAGCGUCUGGGAGAUCCGGAAGAAGCUGGAGGCCCAGCUUUCCUCAUCAGCUGAGAAGGAGGCCAGGCCCAGCAGAGGGUCUCUGCCUCCCAAAUCUCAGCCAGAAGGGGGAAGAAUCUUUGAAAACAGAGAUGAUAACAGCAAAUUCCCCAAGCCUGUGGCCAAGAAUCUGCCACCUCUAUCCACCACCCCUCUGCCAAACACACCACUCCAGUCCAAGGUCACACCUGGACCAGCCACCCCACCCAAGGCCACGCCUGAACCAGCCACAUCACCCAAGACCACUCCCGGACCAGCCUCACCACCCAAGGCCACAUCCGGACCAGCCACACCACCCAAGGUCACGCCCGGACCAGCCACACCACCCAAGGCCACGCCCGGACCAGCCACACCACCCAAGGCCACGCCUGGACCAGCCACAACACCCAAGGCCAUGCCUGGACCAGCCACACCACCCAAAGCCACGUCUGGACCAGCCACACCACCCAAGGCCACACCUCUACCCAUCACAUCUUCCCAACUGAUAGCAGAAAAGAACCUGGCCCCUGCUGGACAGUGGGAGAAGCCAGAACAUGAAGCACUUGCAGUGCCCUCCAAGCCAGAGGUAGAGGGGCACUCCUCAGAGACCAGUAAGCCUCCUACACAGGGAGCCCUCUCAUCUCCAGCCUUCCCCCCAAAGAUAUCACCUGGGCGAGAAGAGGUGCCAUGUUUCUACAAGCCCCACUGCAGCCAGAACAGCUCCAGCAGAGAGGUGGCUGUGGUGAUACCCACUCUGUCCAGAGGAGAGGCUGCAGGGUCAGGCAAGCCUGUGGAGGUGAAGGAGCCCCAGGAGCUGCCACCCAAACCCCCAGCCUCAUCCCAGGCUGCUGACGAACUCCUCAGGCACCCGGUGACGGGGGAGGUGGUGGAGCGGGGUUCCCCGAUGGCCCUGCUCCUUGCGGCCAAGCAGAGGGCCCAGAAGGGGAGGCCCAGGGGGGCCCCCCUGGGCCGGCCCUCCCUGCCAGGGAGUCUCCAAGGCCCGAGCCAGCCCGAGGCAGGCUCUGAUACCAUCUUGUACAACGAGGGCCAGCCCAACUCCUUCACUGUGGUCCCCAAGGUGUCCAAGGAGACUGAGAAGGUCCCCCAGCUAACCUCGCCAGGACAACCCAAAGGACUCUGUCAGUGGGAACUCCAGCCCCGCAGGGACCCGGAGGACACAGAGUCGGGCCGCGGGCCCAGCUCGACAAAGGUGAAGCCCCAGGCCUCUGCGGCCUGGGAGAGACCAGCGCCCUCCAGCCUCCUCCAGGGCCGCCUGCUGCCCAAGUCUUUCUCUUCCCCUCCUUCUCCUUCCCACAAGCCGGAGGAAGACAAGGAGGAGGAGUUCAACUUUGAGGUCAUCCCGCCGCCGCCAGAAUUCAGCAAUGAUCCCGAGCCCCCGGCCGCCCCCUUGCAGUAUCUGGGGCGUCGGGGUUCCCCUCCCCGGAACAAUUUCUCAGACUUGGGGCAGCCCGCGAAUGCGGGCCCAGCUCGCGGCUUCUCUCACUUCUCCGCGGAUCCAGGUCCGGCCCGGGGCCUGGAGCGCUUCUCCGGCGGAGGCGGGGGCCGCUCGCUCAUCAAGAAGCGCCUGUACGUCGGGGAGCCCCACCGCAACCCAGAGCCGCCCCGCGGCGGCACCGGCCGCAGCCUGAGCUUCCCCAACUGCUUCGGGCCGCAGCCCGGGGGCCCCUUCGCAGCGCCCAGCGGCCCGGAGAUGCGGCGCGUCAACUCGGCGGGCCGCGGGCCCCCGGGCGGCCUGCACUUGCGGAACAUGUCCCUGGAGGGCGCCGCUCGCGGAGAGGCCAAGUACAAAGCUCGCAGCGGCGGCGGCGACUAUGGCUGCUCCCCGGCUACCGGCAGGUCUCCCCACAACAACAUGCACUACGGAAGCUCCAUCAACACAUUCACUGUGAGGCCUGGGACCCGCCAUCCCAUCUCCUAUGCCUACUCAGGGGCCCAUUGGAAGGCCCCCUCCUGA
rnacentral:lncRNA from 1 species